GAGGGUAUAGCUCAGUGGCAGAGUAUGUGCUUAGCAUUCACGAGGUCCUGGGUUCAGUCCCCAGUACCACCA
rnacentral:tRNA from 1 species